AUUCCCCUGGCGGAAUGCUUUACACACGCAGUUCGAACGGCACGCACGGACUUCGGUCUGGUGGCGAGUGGCGAACGGGUGAGUAAUACAUCGGAACGUGCCCAGUCGUGGGGGAUAACGUAGCGAAAGCUACGCUAAUACCGCAUACGAUCUAAGGAUGAAAGCGGGGGAUCGCAAGACCUCGCGCGAUUGGAGCGGCCGAUGGCAGAUUAGGUAGUUGGUAGGGUAAAGGCCUACCAAGCCGACGAUCUGUAGCUGGUCUGAGAGGACGACCAGCCACACUGGGACUGAGACACGGCCCAGACUCCUACGGGAGGCAGCAGUGGGGAAUUUUGGACAAUGGGCGAAAGCCUGAUCCAGCCAUUCCGCGUGCAGGAUGAAGGCCCUCGGGUUGUAAACUGCUUUUGUACGGAACGAAAAGGUCCUGGUUAAUACCUGGGGCUCAUGACGGUACCGUAAGAAUAAGCACCGGCUAACUACGUGCCAGCAGCCGCGGUAAUACGUAGGGUGCAAGCGUUAAUCGGAAUUACUGGGCGUAAAGCGUGCGCAGGCGGUGAUGUAAGACAGAGGUGAAAAUCCCCGGGCUCAAGCUGCGAACUGCCUUUUGUGACUGCAUCGCUGGACGUACGGCACGAGGGGGAUGGAAUUCCAGCGCGUUGUAGCAGAUGAAAUGCGUACAUAUUGCGGAGGAACACGAAUG
rnacentral:rRNA from 1 species